rnacentral:rRNA from 1 species
ACCGUGCUUGCACGGUUGGAUUAGUGGCGAACGGGUGAGUAUCACGUGAGUAACCUUCCCUUAACUCUGGGAUAAGCCCGGGAAACUGGGUCUAAUACCGGAUACGACCAGUCCUCGCAUGGGGUGCUGGUGGAAAGAUUUAUCGGUUUUGGAUGGACUCGCGGCCUAUCAGCUUGUUGGUGAGGUAAAGGCUCACCAAGGCGAUGACGGGUAGCCGGCCUGAGAGGGUGACCGGCCACACUGGGACUGAGACACGGCCCAGACUCCUACGGGAGGCAGCAGUGGGGAAUAUUGCACAAUGGGCGAAAGCCUGAUGCAGCGACGCCGCGUGCGGGAUGACGGCCUUCGGGUUGUAAACCGCUUUCAGCAGGGAAGAAGCGAAAGUGACGGUACCUGCAGAAGAAGCGCCGGCUAACUACGUGCCAGCAGCCGCGGUAAUACGUAGGGCGCGAGCGUUAUCCGGAAUUAUUGGGCGUAAAGAGCUCGUAGGCGGUUUGUCACGUCUGCUGUGAAAGCCCGGGGCUCAACCCCGGGUGUGCAGUGGGUACGGGCAGACUAGAGUGCAGUAGGGGAGACUGGAAUUCCUGGUGUAGCGGUGAAAUGCGCAGAUAUCAGGAGGAACACCGAUGGCGAAGGCAGGUCUCUGGGCUGUUACUGACGCUGAGGAGCGAAAGCAUGGGGAGCGAACAGGAUUAGAUACCCUGGUAGUCCAUGCCGUAAACGUUGGGCACUAGGUGUGGGGGACAUUCCACGUUUUCCGCGCCGUAGCUAACGCAUUAAGUGCCCCGCCUGGGGAGUACGGCCGCAAGGCUAAAACUCAAAGGAAUUGACGGGGGCCCGCACAAGCGGCGGAGCAUGCGGAUUAAUUCGAUGCAACGCGAAGAACCUUACCAAGGCUUGACAUGGACCGGACCGCUGCAGAGAUGCAGUUUCCCUUCGGGGUCGGUUCACAGGUGGUGCAUGGUUGUCGUCAGCUCGUGUCGUGAGAUGUUGGGUUAAGUCCCGCAACGAGCGCAACCCCUAUCCUAUGUUGCCAGCACGUUAUGGUGGGGACUCAUGGGAGACUGCCGGGGUCAACUCGGAGGAAGGUGGGGACGACGUCAAAUCAUCAUGCCCCUUAUGUCUUGGGCUUCACGCAUGCUACAAUGGCCGGUACAAUGGGUUGCGAUACUGUGAGGUGGAGCUAAUCCCUAAAAGCCGGUCUCAGUUCGGAUCGAAGUCUGCAACUCGACUUCGUGAAGUUGGAGUCGCUAGUAAUCGCAGAUCAGCAACGCUGCGGUGAAUACGUUCCCGGGCCUUGUACACACCGCCCGUCAAGUCACGAAAGUGGGUAACACCCGAAGCCGGUGG